rnacentral:lncRNA from 1 species
CGGGCGGAUCACGAGGUCAGGAGUUCUAGACCAGCCUGGCCAAUACGGUGAAAUCCCGUCUCUACUAAAAAUGCAAAAAUUAGCCGGGCAUGGUAGCGGGCGCCUGUAGUCCUAGCUGCUCGGGAGGCUGAGGCAGGAGAAUCGCUUGAACCCGGGAGGCGAAGCUUGCAGUGAGCCAAGAUCGCGCCACUGCACUCUAGCCUGGGCGACAGAGGGAGACUCCGUCUCAAAAACAAAAAACAAAAAAAAAAACAACUUAAAAUUUGAAGUUCUGAAGACUCUUUAAACUCAUAAAUGGACAAUUGGUGGUUUUUGUUAAUGUUACAUGUAAUUUUUUUAGCUCUUUUAACAUAAACAAGAGUUAAGUGUUGAGAAACAACACUAGCUGCACGGAUUAUAUAUUAAAAAUUAAGUAUUAGUUGGCUGGGUGCGGUGGCUCACGCUUGUAAUCCCAGCACUUUGGGGGGGCCAAGGCGGGUGGAUCUUCUGAGGUCAGGACUUUGAGACCAGCCUGACCAACAUGGCGAAACCCCGUCACUAUUAAAAAUACAAAAAUUAGCUGGGCGUGGUGGCGGGCACCCGUAAUCCCAGCUACUUGGGAGGCUGAGGCAGGAGAAUCACUUGAACGCAGGAGGUGGAGGUUGCAGUGAGCCGAUAUCAUGCUACUGCACUCCAGCCUGGGCAACAAGAGCGAAACUCUGUAUCAAAAAAAAAAAAAAAGAAAAAUUAAGUAUUAGACUUUGGGCUUUAACUUACGAGAAAAUUUUACUUUUCCCUCGUUUUUCUAGAAAUUUGCUAGGAAGUUACAUGUGUAAUUUUUGAGUUGGGUAUCUCUAUGAGAAGUGGCUAAUUGGAAACCUUCCAAAAGUGGUAAAAUAAAUAGCUGGGCUAGCUAAGGUAGUUUGUUAGAAUAUAAAAUAUGAAACUGAGUAUCUGUUUUUGUCAUCAGAAGUGGGACAUUUAGGAAAGGGCAGUUGUUUUCCUGUAACAGUUUUAGUAAAUAUGAAAAUAACCCACAAUGUGGGAAGAAAACUUUGUAGACAAGCAAUUAAGAAAAUAUUCAAUAAUACAUUUUAAUCCGAUUUUCAAGUAUGCUAACAUUUUAGAAAAUAAACGACGAAAAUGGGAUUAGGGCAACUGUAUUUUAUAUCUUUGAAGCCUGAAAUAGAUUUGUAAUUACUUCACUAAUCAUCACAUUUUUCUAAAGCUGAUGGAACAACAGCAUGUAACUCUUUUGCUUUACUUUGUACUGGACCAGGCUCUCAGUGUUAAAUUUUUGGAAAAAAAUCAUGAGUAGUGGAACAUAUAUAAUGAUAAUAUUAUAUGCAUUACAUGAAAAUAAUCAUAAAGAGACUGUUAUGUGGCUUUCAAGGUCAGAACUUUACAAAUAAAUACUAAAUAUAUGUAUUGAAGUUUUCAGUGUUUACUGACAAUUUUCCUAAAUCUUCAGAGCCUCUGAGGUCAGUAACUUUUUCAGUUCAUUAGUCAUUUAAUCAGUCAUUAGACUGAGAAGGCAAGUUUAUGCAAAUCUUCUGGUUGUUUUUUGAGAUGG